UACGUAGGGGGCAAGCGUUGUCCGGAUUUAUUGGGCGUAAAGAGCGUGUAGGCGGCCAGGUAGGUCCGUUGUGAAAACUCGAGGCUCAACCUCGAGACGUCGGCGGAAACCCUCUGGCUAGAGUCCGGAAGAGGAGAGUGGAAUUCCUGGUGUAGCGGUGAAAUGCGCAGAUAUCAGGAAGAACACCCGUGGCGAAGGCGGCUCUCUGGGGACGGUACUGACGCUGAGACGCGAAAGCGUGGGGGAGCAAACAGG
rnacentral:rRNA from 1 species